CGCCCCCUCUGCCCUCGCUGCCUCCGCUUCCAGCCGGGCAUGCUGCAUACCUAAAAGCAGGAGCUGAUUCUUGCCCCCUUGGCCUUGAUUGCACUUGUUGCAAACAUUGGAAACUUCUUUGCAUUUAAAUAACGGACUUACUCAGGCUUUGACACCCCACUGGGAUUCUGCUUCAUCAGCACAGCCCUGCUCUAAACUGCUUCUUACGGCUAUGCAUAAUUUAGCUUUUAAUGAGAAAUAUCCCAUAGAUCUAUGCUUCGAAGCAGCCCCUCUGCGUCGCAGUCCCAUCCAGACGGCGCACCUAUUCUGCGCAGCUCCAACUAGCUGAGCCUUCUUAACACAGUAAUUAGCCUCGCUGCCUCGCAUGAUAAAGAUGAAGCAAGAGAAUCAGAAAAAAGGGAUGCUGCUAGAAGCUGUGCCUUCUAAGCAAGCCUCUGUGGUCACUUCAAAAUCCAGCAAUGCUUUCUAAGCACUGUAUAUGGCUUACUGAUGUUUCUAUACUGUUGCUAAUACAGAGGAGCUUGCAAAAAACGGCAUCGUAGCUUUUAUAGAAGAUAGGGCCAUUACUAGAGUUUUUCAGGCAUCAAAGCAAAUCAUUUUUACUUUCUGCUCUCCCAUGUCACUUUAUUGUUACUUCCCAGAGGGACUUAACGCAGAAUAUGUGAAAGGAGAAAACAUGGAAGCGGUUGUGAGCGAAGAACCUCAAGUUAAAUAUUCAGUGCAGGAAACACAGCCAGCAGAACCACCCAAACAAGACAGCACGAAGCUCUAAAGCACGACCUGGGGCUGGAAGAGAACCAGUCAGCAGCAGACAUGGAGAUCUUACAUGCUUGUAAUUUAGCUUUUUAUUUAAUUUGAAUCCAAAGCUAUUUAAUGUGUACUUAGGCUUGAACUGGCUUCUUACUGCUAUAGGCUUUAGGGUUAGAAUGGUAAUAUGUGUUUUUUUGUAAAGACUUCUAUGUUUACAUUUACGUAAUAUUAUAGGCUUGAUUUCAAGUUGUAUGCAAAACAACCGAAGGUGCUUCAGUAGCGUUCAACUAUCAGUUAAGGGACAAGGUCUUUUCCAAGGAGCAGAAGAGCUUACAGGUGUGAGGACAGUGAAGUGCCUGUAAAUAGCAAUCCAAAGCAAACCACGCAAAACCCUUUGUAAAUCACUUCCAGCUGACUUUAACCACCUGCUACAGGCACAUAACUUCCAAUGGCAGUGAUGAAAACUGCACAUUUACUGAGGGUAGAUUGAGGUCCUUAGAGUAGCUACACCUGAAAAUAAAGUGCCUAUGGGUAGGUCCUCAGGUAGGGCCUCAUGCUGAGACAGGUGACACCCUGCUCUUUAGUCGGGGAGUCGAGGAUGCUCACAACCACACAGCACUAGGCUUCUAACCAAAUAAAAAGGCCUGACUUUCAUCCCAAAUCAUGAACACAGGUAGUAGCAGUGUACAAAGUGUUCAUUCUUGAAAAAUAUUUGAAUGCAUGGCUGUGCUAGAGGUCAGAAGGGAGUCAAAGUUACCAAGUGAUACAGCUUGUCUGUCAUCAGUGAGAUUUAUAUAUUGUCAAUGAAAUGAAAUUAAAACUGUUCCAAGGACAGAUUCAGAUCUCAUUCACACCAGAACAAAUUACAGAUUUAACCCAAAAGAAAAUAAAGAACAUCAGUUGAGACCUUUAACACUCACUGCCACAACAGAAGUCAAGCUUAGCAAGAUACAUUAUUCCCCCCACCUCCUUCUCCAAGCAUUCACACAAUUAUUGAGAACGUUCAUUGUCACCUUAGGCAGAAAAGGGAUAUAAAGCUUUGUCCUUUGGGACACCAAUGAACCUUUAGAAAAGGCAGAACUUCCUUAGAGGAUGAAUUUUCCAUCUCUGUCUUCUGCGGGGUUCUUCCAGCAGCCUGGGAAGCAUGUGUCUGUGAGCGUUGUCAGCAGGACACUGCCCUGUCGCCAGGAGAGCCCCCCGCUCCCGUGGGGGUGUUCCUAUGCUCUUUUUGAACAUAACGGUACCAAUAGAAUGACCUGACCCUUGCUGAAAAAAUUGUGUUUAUACUUUUAAUCUCUCCCCAUCUCUUUUUUAUUGAUGCUAGAAGGUGGACACUGCCACUUACCAAUACAUUUCCCCAAAUCAGCAAAUCCUUAAAAAAAUGCUUUAUAAAGGGAAAUUCACUUACCUAGUGUAAAAGGUACUCUAUGUUUAUAUAUAAACCUGAAAUGUGUGCAUUUUGUAAUGUUUUGCAAAAACCCAUAUUGUGUGAAUGUGGAUAAAAAAAAGUGUUUUCUGUUUGAUGUACAAAUUCACAGCUUUCAUGUAGACAUGGCUUACACAAGGCCUUGCCAAUAGGUGAAUAAGCCUAGGAGCAUUUCUGACUAACAGCUCAAUUUGAAAGGAAACUGUCUGUAAGUAUUUUGCAAUAGCUGCACAAUUCUUUAUGUUGUUUUUCACACUUGCAUUUUUAAAGCCUUACUACUAGCUCUAACAGAACAACUACAGCAUUUUAUAAGGGUGACAAGUUCUAAGGCUGUAUGGCGCCUCUCAUACAUUUGGAGCACUUGGUCUACAACAAUACUGCUAUUAAUUACUGCUACUUUGUUUUAUGAAUGGAUUUGGAUUAGAAAACUAAACAUUUAACUACUGGUUACUCUGAGACUGGAAGCAGGAGAAAUAGACAGGGAUACAGAAUAGAUGUUUGCUUACUCCUAGGGUAGGAUUUUUAUGGAGGAAGAGAUGGGGCUUGUAGAACUCUGAUCAUCGUCUACAAGAGCUCAGAUGCCAAUGAAGCCAGGCAGCCAGGUCUGGGUAACUACAUCUCCAAACUCUGUAGCCUGUUCAUCUCUCUUAGCCAAACAUGUUUGAGAGCUGUGGCAUGGAAGCAUUUUUAGAAAAUAAUUGUAGACAAAAUGUUACAACAUGGCACUGAUAGCAGUCAUAUUCCCCGGGUAGAUCGAGUGAACAUAAAUCCAUUUAUCUUUUUGCUGGUGAGAGAAUGUUUUUUUGUAGAUGAAGAUCAUCAGUGCUGUUGCAUUUCUGUUACUGCACAGUGCACUCCCUGUUUGUCUAGUGGACAAUGCAGUGGAGUGUUCAGGAUUGCUCAAGUCUACAGCACUUACCCCUCCUUAGGGAAAGUGUUACACUAUACAUAUGAGAAACAUGCAUGUAAUUCACAAUACUGCUGUUUUUCGAAAAAGAGAGAAAGAGGAAAAAAGUUUCACUGAGAAACACAGCAGUUUUUAGAACUCAGAAGUAGCCUGCAUUGAAGUUGCUCCUUUCCCCAAGGCCUUUUCUAUGGCUUUGGUGAAUAUUUAUGCCUUAAUGUAAUUUCUAGGUGUAGCGUAAGAAAAAACGGAAACGCCUAGUGAAAGGGAGCACUUUUUCAAAGUUUACAGUAACAGAAUUCAAGAUCCCUUUCUCCAAGAUUCCUAACAGGAAAAUUUUGACAAAUACUGCAGUAAAGAAAUUAAACGCAGUCUUCUCUUCAAAACACCUGGGCAAAAACCUUGGGCUUCAUGUGCUAAAUGUCAGUUAAGGCUCAAUUGCUUUUUUAUUGCAGUUCGUCUCCUCUGUCUGAACCGUCUGCUCAGUCCCUGAAAAAUGGGGAGUUUAUACUUCACACCACCUGUAUUUCAGCCAUUAUAGCAACUUGGAGGGUUUAUUUGUAUUUUCCUAGUGGCGAAACAAGUUCUGAAACAACCGAUACAGCAUUCACCUCUCUAAUUACCUUCAUUUAAUUAUUAUUAUCUUUAAAUUAGGAUACAGAAUUUUAAAAAAUCUUGCACUUAUAUCCUGUAUACAUGGUGUGAACUUUCUCAUCCCUUAUAAAGAAGGCAAUAAAACACUGGAAAACUAGGGUUUUUUUCAUUAGUCCUAAAGUGCAGAUACAGCUGUCCUGAGAGUUUAUGUACCACCUGUUCUGUGGCUCUUACUCAUAACACACCUCACUUCUUCAGAUUAACUAAAGCUAUUUUUAAUGAAAAAAAUUCAGAAACAAGUUUUCUCUAUCAUAUAGAAAACAGAGAAUUGAUAAGCACUUAACCAGCUGUUUUCCUGUUAUUAGAUGAAUUACCCACAUUUUCCUUUAGCAAUACUGUAGUAGUUUCUUCAUUUUAGAAGACUGUGACAUUAGAGUCUUCAUUUCAGAAUAUUGUGACAUUAAUUUCAGAUUUUUUUGGAGCCCUACAAGUUCAGUCAUUUUCAUGCAACCCCAUUAAGGAACCCUUACAAUUGCUAUAUUGUCAGUGCGAACUACUCAUUUUUGUCAUAAAGAUGGAGUUAGUCCGUGAGACCGUUUCAAAGUCUGAAAAAUUAAAAUGAGUAGACAGGCUUGGCCCUUAAAAUUUGCUUCUAUAAGAAAUGAGCUUCAGGAACAAACGAUGUUCAAAACCAAAUGAAGCUCAGAAACAAUGGUACUGCGAAGUUAAGAGAAUCACGUCUUUACAGUGAAGUCUUAAUUUAAAAGCAAGACAUAUUGUUUACUAAUGCAGAAGUGACCUAUGCCAAAUAAAGGUUUCAUAUUAUGCUGUGAAAAGAUAGAUUCGUUUUGCUAAUGUGCAUGUAAGCAUCAUGGGGGUAAAAAUCAGAAUUUGACUACAACGAAUAAAACAGACUUGACUAGUAAGACA